rnacentral:rRNA from 1 species
CUACGGGGGGCUCCAGUGGGGAAUAUUGGACAAUGGGGGAACCCUGAUGCAGCAACGCCGCGUGGAGGAUGACGCAUUUCGGUGUGUAAACUCCUUUUAUAUGUCAAGAAAAUGACGGUAGCAUAUGAAUAAGCACCGGCUAACUCCGUGCCAGCAGCCGCGGUAAUACGGAGGGUGCAAGCGUUACUCGGAAUCACUGGGCGUAAAGGACGCGUAGGCGGGUUGGAAAGUCAGGUGUGAAAUCCUACAGCUUAACUGUAGAACUGCACUUGAAACUUCUAAUCUAGAGUAUGGGAGGGGGAGAUGGAAUUAGUGGUGUAGGGGUAAAAUCCGUAGAUAUCACUAGGAAUACCUAAAGCGAAGGCGAUCUCCUGGAACAUUACUGACGCUAAGGCGUGAAAGCGUGGGGAGCAAACAGGAUUAGAUACCCCUGUAGUC